CCCUCUGAGCAUUGUUUCAGGUGGGCGUGUCUGAGAGUCUCCAGCUGCAGCUAAUCCUGUCAUCGAGGUCCAGGGGAUUUAAGGAGCAGUGUGACACUUCACUUCGCCGGAUGAUUACUCUGUUUGGGUUUCGCUCCACACUCCACCAUCUCCAUAACCAGUUUGGACUCCUGCAUCCCAGAUCACGCUGUCUCCUCCCCUGGCCGCCCGCUCUCAGCCGCUCACCUGACCUCACCAAACCUCUGCUCCUACCUCCCCUCUGGUUCAACAGUUACUUCACCUUCUGGAUCCUUCCUGCUCACCCGGACCUGACUUAGCCCUCCCUGAGCCUCUCACCACUACCUACUAUCAAAUCACCUCCUGGAAUUUUGCUGCCAGUCCUGCACUGCGUCUGUUCCCGUUCUUCCCGUUACUCAUCAUUCAAUAAUAAAGACGUUUUACGUACUUACCGGUUCUCAGUGUUGUGAUUCUGCAUGUCGUGGGUCAAGAAACUGCCACCCACCUUGACAUCAAAGGGUUAAAGAUGGACAGGAAGCUGACAGAGAGCUGGUGGAGCGCUUUGUGGCAUGGUGUGGAAACAAUCAUCUGACCUUGAACGUGAACAAAACAAAGGAGAUGAUUUUAGACUUCAGAAGAAACAGGGUGGAGUCAAACACUGUUUCCAUCAUGGGAGAAGAAGUGGAGGUGGUUGAGGAAUACAAAUAUCUUGGAGUUCACCUGGACAACAGACUGGACUGGAGAAAGAGAACAGCAAAGCCGUUUACAAGAAGGGACACAGCAGACUGCACUUCUUGAGGACGCUUAGGUCCUUCAAUGUCUGUAACAAGAUGCUGCAGAUCUUCUACAAGUCUGUUGUUGAGAGUGUAAUCUCUUCAGCCAUCGUCUGUUGGGGUAGUAGCAUCAGAAGCAGGGACCUGAAAAGGCUCAACAGCCUAAUAAAACAGGCUGGUUCUGUUCUGGGGACGACUGUGGAACCACUGGAGGAGAUAAUGCAAAGAAGGAUUCUCCAGAGAAUCAAGAAAAUUAUGGACAACCCUGAGCAUUCUCUUCACAAGACUGUCUGACAACGGAAGAGUGUCUUCAGUCAGAGGCUUCUUCAGUUUCGCUGCAACACUGACCGCUACUGGAGAUCCUUCCUGCCAAUAGCCAUUGUAAUAUACAAUAACUCUUUGAUGACUUGAUUAUUAUUAUUAUUAUGAGCUACUACAUCAAUCAAUUUCCCUCUGGGAUUAAUAAAGUAUUUUUGAAUUUGAAUUGAAUUUAUGAUAAAUGUUUGACAUUUAUUGAUGUAUUAUGUUAGGACAAAUGAAAGAAUCAAAACUUUCAUGAAAAUUAGGAAAACAUUUCUUUUGUUUUUGCUUCCUUUAAUAAAA